GGUUUCGUGGUGUAGUUGGUUAUCACGUGAGUGUACAAUGCUGAAGGACUCCAGUUCGAUCCUGGACGAAACCA